CAUGCAAGUCGAACGAGAAAGUUCCGGCAACGGAAUGAGUAAAGUGGCGAACGGGUGAGUAACAAGUGGGUAAUUUACCUUUAAGUUGAGGAUAACCUUGCGAAAGUGGGGCUAAUACUCAAUAAGACCACAAUAACUCUGGUUGUUGUGGUAAAAGAAGGCCUCUGAUUCAAGCUUCCGCUUAAAGAGAAGCCCGCUUACCAUUAGCUUGUUGGUAAGGUAAUGGCUUACCAAGGCUACGAUGGUUAGCUGGUCUGAGAGGAUGAUCAGCCACACUGGGACUGGGAGACGGCCCAGACUCCUACGGGAGGCAGCAGUGGGGAAUUUUGCGCAAUGGGCGCAAGCCUGACGCAGCAACGCCGUGUGCGUGAGGACGCCGUUCGCGGUGUAAAGCGCUGUGAGAUGGGACGAAGGCCCUGGAGGUGAAGAGCCUGCGGGGGUGACGG
rnacentral:rRNA from 1 species